rnacentral:rRNA from 1 species
UGGGGAAUUUUGGACAAUGGGGGAAACCCUGAUCCAGCCAUCCCGCGUGUGCGAUGAAGGCCUUCGGGUUGUAAAGCACUUUUGGCAGGAAAGAAACGUCAUGGGUUAAUACCCCGUGAAACUGACGGUACCUGCAGAAUAAGCACCGGCUAACUACGUGCCAGCAGCCGCGGUAAUACGUAGUGUGCAAGCGUUAAUCGGAAUUACUGGGCGUAAAGCGUGCGCAGGCGGUUCGGAAAGAAAGAUGUGAAAUCCCAGAGCUCAACUUUGGAACUGCAUUUUUAACUACCGGGCUAGGGUGUGUCAGAGGGAGGUGGAAUGCCGCGUGUAGCAGUGAAAUGCGUAGAUAUGCGGAGGAACAACGAUGGCGAAGGCAGCCUCCUGGGAUAACACUGACGCUCAUGCACGAAAGCGUGGGGAGCAAACAGG